ACUCGAGCCGCGGCGGUUGCGGCGCCGACCCCCCGCCCGCCGUCGCCUCGUCGCCGCCCGCGCCGGGUCCGCGCAGCACGAAGAAGCGCUUGUGGCCAUGCUUCUGCUUGCGCAGGCCAGUUUGAGUUGGACUGUCUGCCACCUGAGCAAGAGAAAUCCCACCUGCCAAGCCUCUCGGCAGACGGUGGUGCAGCCUCCACAGCCUGGUCUUCAGAUUGUAACUCCGGCCCCUGCUCUGAGCUGGACCCCUCUAGAUCAAGUUUGCAAAUCCUGCGAGAGCCCAGGUGGAGCUUCUGACACGGUGCACAGAAGCAGCCUGGCAUAGCGUGUGAGGAGUCCCCCCCCCACCCAAGCCUCCCAAAGACGCCGUCUGCUGUCACUGAGGGCCGGGGCCACAGCCUCUGCAUCUCCCGAGCUCCAAAAGUUCCUACGGUUCAACGUUCAUUAUGCUCAACUGACAAUCUGCUGCUAAGCACAGGACUGAGGCUGCAUAGCCAGGGACUGUUCUGGAGGGAUUU
rnacentral:lncRNA from 10 species